CCUACGGGAGGCUGCAGUGGGGAAUAUUGCACAAUGGGGGAAACCCUGAUGCAGCAACGCCGCGUGAGUGAAGAAGUAUUUCGGUAUGUAAAGCUCUAUCAGCAGGGAAGAAGAAAGACGGUACCUGACUAAGAAGCCCCGGCUAACUACGUGCCAGCAGCCGCGGUAAUACGUAGGGGGCAAGCGUUAUCCGGAUUUACUGGGUGUAAAGGGAGCGUAGACGGCUGUGCAAGUCUGAAGUGAAAGCCCGUGGCUCAACCCCGGGACUGCUCUUGGAACUGCGUGGCUGGAGUGCAGGAGGGGCAGGCGGAAUGCCUGGUGUAGCGGUGAAAUGCGUAGAUAUCAGGAGGAACACCGGUGGCGAAGGCGGCCUGCUGGACUGCAACUGACGUUGAGGCCCGAAAGCGUGGGGAGCAAACAGGAUUAGAUACCCUUGUAGUC
rnacentral:rRNA from 1 species